rnacentral:rRNA from 1 species
GCUGGUUCUCUCCGAAAUAGCUUUAGGGCUAGCCUCAAGUGAUGAUUAUUGGAGGUAGAGCACUGUUUGGACGAGGGGCCCUUCUCGGGUUACCGAAUUCAGACAAACUCCGAAUGCCAAUUAAUUUAACUUGGGAGUCAGAACAUGGGUGAUAAGGUCCGUGUUCGAAAGGGAAACAGCCCAGACCACCAGCUAAGGUCCCAAAAUAUAUGUUAAGUGGAAAAGGAUGUGGCGUUGCCCAGA